rnacentral:rRNA from 1 species
AAGCUCGUAGUUGAAUUUCGGGGUCAGUAGGUUGGUCGUGCCACCGGUACGUACUGGUUUCACUGAUUCCUCCUUCCUGAUGAGCUGUAAUGCCAUUAAUUUGGUGUUGCAGGGAAUCUGGACUGUUACUUUGAAAAAAUUAGAGUGUUUAAAGCAGGCUUACGCUUGAAUACAUUAGCAUAGAAUAAUGAAAUAGGACGUUCGAUCCUAUUUUGUUGGUUUCUAGGAUUGACGUAAUGAUUAAUAGGGAUAGUUGGG